rnacentral:rRNA from 1 species
UACGUAGGGGGCAAGCGUUAUCCGGAAUUACUGGGUGUAAAGGGUGCGUAGGUGGUAUGGCAAGUCAGAAGUGAAAACCCAGGGCUUAACUCUGGGACUGCUUUUGAAACUGUCAGACUGGAGUGCAGGAGAGGUAAGCGGAAUUCCUAGUGUAGUGGUGAAAUGCGUAGAUAUUAGGAGGAACAUCAGUGGCGAAGGCGGCUUACUGGACUGAAACUGACACUGAGGCACGAAAGCGUGGGGAGCAAACAGG